rnacentral:rRNA from 1 species
GACGAACGCUGGCGGCGUGCCUAAUACAUGCAAGUAGAACGCACAGUUUAUACCGUAGCUUGCUACACCAUAGACUGUGAGUUGCGAACGGGUGAGUAACGCGUAGGUAACCUGCCUGGUAGCGGGGGAUAACUAUUGGAAACGAUAGCUAAUACCGCAUAAUAUUAAUUAUUGCAUGAUAAUUAAUUGAAAGGUGCAAUUGCACCACUACCAGAUGGACCUGCGUUGUAUUAGCUAGUAGGUGAGGUAACGGCUCACCUAGGCGACGAUACAUAGCCGACCUGAGAGGGUGAUCGGCCACACUGGGACUGAGACACGGCCCAGACUCCUACGGGAGGCAGCAGUAGGGAAUCUUCGGCAAUGGACGAAAGUCUGACCGAGCAACGCCGCGUGAGGGAAGAAGGGUUUCGGAUCGUAAAGCUCUGUUGUAAGAGAAGAACGGGUGUGAGAGUGGAAAGUUCACACUGUGACGGUAUCUUACCAGAAAGGGACGGCUAACUACGUG